GGGCGGAAGGCAUCACUUUGUCCGGACUCUAAUUCAAAUUGUAUUCAUCCGAUCUUCACCAAACUUGGUCAGCAGUUGCAUCUAGUUGAUAUCUAGGCCAAGUUCGAAUAUGGGUCAUGCCGGGUCAAAAACUAGGUCAUAGGGUCAAUAAGUGCAUUUUCAACGGCGCCACUUUGUCCGGACUCUAAUUCAAAUUGUAUUCAUCCGAAACUUUUAAACAACUUUUUAUCCUGCGUCAAAGUGGUAUGGGGGUAUAAGUCACAUUCAGUGACAAAGCUCUAGUUCAAGUUGAAUUCACCAAACUUGGUCAGAGGUAGUAUAUAGAUUAUAUAUCAGUCAGGUCUGAUUGGAGACAUGCAACCGAUUAACACAUGCAAUAUUUUUAUGCAAUAUUUUUAUCCAGUUUUAUUUUGCGAUAUUUUCAUCGGGUUUAUUUUUUUCGCGAUUUUUGAAACGAGUUAUUUUUAACAACAUGUUUAUUGGUAAGUUUCAUUUUUCCUUCAAUCUAAUCAUGAUUUCCACAGGUACAUGAGUUUUUCACUGUGCUUGGGUACUAUAGAAAGGCAACUGUUUAUCAUUGUCAUCAACCUAAAAUCAAUUUUUAUACGCCCGUAUAAAAUACGGGACGUAUUAUGUGAAACCCCUUGGCGGGCGGCGGGCGGCGGGCGGCGGGCGGAAGGCAUCACUUUGUCCGGACUCUAAUUCAAAUUGUAUUCAUCCGAUCUUCACCAAACUUGGUCAGCAGUUGCAUCUAGUUGAUAUCUAGGCCAAGUUCGAAUAUGGGUCAUGCCGGGUCAAAAACUAGGUCAUAGGGUCAAUAAGUGCAUUUUCAAAGGGGCCACUUUGUCCGGACUCUAUUUCAAAUUGUAUUCAUCCGAUCUUCACCAAACUUGGUCAGCAGUUGCAUCUAGUUGAUAUCUAGGCCAAGUUCGAAUAUGGGUCAUGCCGGGUCAAAAACUAGGUCAUAGGGUCAAUUAGUGCAUUUUCAACGGCGCCACUUUGUCCGGACUCUAAUUCAAAUUGUAUUCAUCCGAUCUUCACCAAAUUUGGUCAGAAGUUGUGUCUAGAUGAUAUGUAGGUCAAGUUCAAAUAUGGGUCAUGCCGGGUCAAAAACUAGGUCACGAGGUUACUUAGUGCAUUUCAAGCAUUUAGCAUGGUGUCCGCUCUCUAAUUGAAGUAGUUUUCAUCUGAUCUUCACCUAAUUUGGUCAGAAGUUGUGUCUAGAUGAUAUGUAGGUCAAGUUCGAACAUGGGUCAUGCCGGGUCAAAAACGAGGUCACAUAGUGCAUUUCAAGCAUUAAGCAUGUUGUCCGCUCUUUAAUUGAAGUAGUUUUCAUCUGAUCUUCACCAAAUUUAGUCAGAUGUUACAUCUAAGUGAUAUCUAGGUCAAGUUCAAAUAUGGGUCAUGCCGGGUCAAUAACUAGGUCUUGAGGACACUUUCAAGCAUUGAGCAUGGUGUCCAAAACCUUAGAACGGGCGUAUCUUGUGACAGUUUGGCACUCUUGUUACAAUAUACAUUCUUCAGCUGACUGGUUCUUAGACACUUUGCUCUUUUAUAUUGUCAUGCUGUUCUGUAAAGUAUUUUCAAGCCGAUAAAUAAUAAGAAUUUUGCCUGCUCCUUUUGUGCCCUACUUAAUGAAGCACUUAACACAGCUUUGUUUUUUGGUAUCAUGUCAAUUAAAAUAACAGAUUGAUGUUUGAUUGUUGAUGAUAAACAUUACUUCCUUUUUCAAAUAACUAAACAAAAUAAUACAUUGAAGUCCUUCAAAACAAUAUGAACACUUAUC